ensembl:misc_RNA Y_RNA Y RNA
GACUGGUCUGAGUGCAGUGGUGUUAAGAACUAAUUGAUCUUAACCAGUUACUUAACCAGUUUCUUAACCAGUUACAGUUCCUUCUUCACUCCCACUACUUCACUUGACUAGACUUUA